rnacentral:rRNA from 1 species
UACGUAGGGUCCGAGCGUUGUCCGGAAUUAUUGGGCGUAAAGGGCUCGUAGGCGGUUCGUCACGUCGGGAGUGAAAACUCGGGGCUUAACCCCGAGCCUGCUUCCGAUACGGGCAGACUAGAGGUAGGCAGGGGAGAGCGGAACUCCUGGUGUAGCGGUGGAAUGCGCAGAUAUCAGGAGGAACACCGGUGGCGAAGGCGGGUCUCUAGGCCGACACUGACGCUGAGGAGCGAAAGCGUGGGGAGCGAACAGG